rnacentral:lncRNA from 10 species
GGGAGCUCUGUUUUCACUCUAUUAAAACUUGCAACUGCGCUCUCUUCUGGUCAGUGUUUGUUACGGCUCGAGCUGAGCUUUCACUUGCUGUCCACCACUGCUGUUUGCCGCUGUCACAGACCCGCCGCUGACUUCCAUCCCUCUGGAUCCGGCAGGGUGUCUGCUGUGCUCCUGAUCCAGCAAGGUGCCCAUUGCCGCUCUCGAUCAGGCUAAAGGCUUGCCAUUGUUCCUGCAUAGCUAAGUUCCCGGGUUCGUCCUAACUGAGCUGAACACUAGUCACUGGGUUCCACGGUUCUCUUCUGCGACCCGCGGCUUCUAAUAGAGCUAUAACACUCAUCACGUGGCCCAAGAUUCCAUUCCUUGGAAUCCCUGAGGCCAAGAACCCCAGGUCAGAACACGAGGCUUGCUGCCCUCUUGGAAGCAGCCCGCCACCAUCUUGGGAGCUCUGGGAACAAGGACACCCUGGUAACAGUAUGAGCUCGAAAAUGAACAUCACACAGCACAGAUUUGGAGUCCAGAAGUAAACUGGCAAAAGUAUAUGAGGAAAUUCAACAAUACCUUACCAAGGCCAAGUAAACUUAGCUGAAGAAGGAAGCAAAGAUAUUAACAACG